UACGUAGGGGGCGAGCGUUGUCCGGAAUCAUUGGGCGUAAAGAGCACGUAGGCGGCCUGUCAGGUCGGAUGUGAAAACCCGCGGCUUAACUGCGGGAUUGCAUUCGAAACCGGCAGGCUUGAGUCCAGUAGAGGAAAGUGGAAUUCCCAGUGUAGCGGUGAAAUGCGCAGAUAUUGGGAAGAACACCGGUGGCGAAGGCGGCUUUCUGGGCUGUGACUGACGCUGAGGUGCGAAAGCUAGGGGAGCAAACAGG
rnacentral:rRNA from 1 species